rfam:Opitutaceae bacterium TSB47 genomic scaffold Scaffold8, whole genome shotgun sequence.
GAUCCUCUGCGGUGUUCGAGGUGCUUUCCAAUAACCGCUCUUUGCCUUUGAUACAUUACGGGAGUCGAAACCGUCGCGGAAGCUGUCAGGCCGUAAACCGGAAGACAAACGCUGCGGGGGAGGCGCCCACCUUAACAUAAAAAGGACCAGAGCCUUUGGGCGCACGGCACAGGCGGAGGAUCA